UGAAUGAUGUUAGGGAUACUUGAGGUUUC
rnacentral:sRNA from 1 species